UACGUAGGGGGCAAGCGUUGUCCGGAUUUAUUGGGCGUAAAGAGCGUGUAGGCGGCCAGGUAGGUCCGUUGUGAAAACUCGAGGCUCAACCUCGGGAGGCGGGUGGAUACUGCUGGGCUCGAGUACGGAAGAGGCGAGUGGAAUUCCCGGUGUAGCGGUGAAAUGCGCAGAUAUCGGGAGGAACACCAAUGGCGAAGGCAGCUCGCUGGGACGUUACUGACGCUGAGACGCGAAAGCGUGGGGAGCAAACAGG
rnacentral:rRNA from 1 species